UACGUAGGUGGCAAGCGUUGUCCGGAUUUAUUGGGUUUAAAGGGUGCGUAGGCGGCCCUGUAAGUCAGUGCUGAAAUACCCCGGCUUAACCGGGGGGGGUGGCAUUGAUACUGCAGGGCUUGAGUACAGAUGAGGUAGGCGGAAUUGACGGUGUAGCGGUGAAAUGCAUAGAUAUCGUCAAGAACACCGAUAGCGAAGGCAGCUUACUGGGCUGUAAACUGACGCUGAUGCACGAAAGUGUGGGGAUCAAACAGG
rnacentral:rRNA from 1 species